UACAGAGGGUGCAAGCGUUGUCCGGAAUUAUUGGGCGUAAAGCGCUCGUAGGUGGAUCGAAAAGUCUGUGAGGAAAUACCUGGGCUCAACUCAGGAACCCGUGCGGAUACUUUCGAUCUUGAGGCAAUCAGAGGAUGAUGGAAUUCCCGGUGUAGCGGUGAAAUGCGCAGAUAUCAGGAAGAACACCCGUGGCUAAGGCGGCUCUCUAGUACGGUACUGACGCUGAGACGCGAAAGCGUGGGGAGCGAACAGG
rnacentral:rRNA from 1 species